rnacentral:rRNA from 1 species
UACAGAGGGGGCAAGCGUUAUUCGGAUUCACUGGGCGUAAAGGGUGCGCAGGCGGCCAAGUGUGUGAGGCGUGAAAGCCCGGGGCUUAACCCCGGAAUUGCACCUCAAACUACAUGGCUAGAGCAUUGGAGAGGGUAGCGGAAUUCACGGUGUAGCAGUGAAAUGCGUAGAUAUCGUGAGGAACACCAGAGGCGAAGGCGGCUACCUGGACAAUUGCUGACGCUCAGGCACGAAAGCGUGGGGAGCAAAAGGG